UGUACUUAUGUUUAUUUUUCUGUACAGCACUUUGGACAACACUUUAGUUGUUGUAAAGUGCUUAACAAAUAAAGUUGGUAUGGUAUGGUAAGUUUAGCUGUUUUAAAAAAAGACCGUUGCAAUUUAAAUAAUAAGCUACGAAAACCAAUGCAAAAGACAAAUCACCAACCUCUGUGUUCAGCAAAUCAUUUUCACGGCAAUAAUUAUCUAAGCCAAUCAGAAUUGACACCUCUGCUACGUUGGUGGCACACGCAGAAAGAAGCGCGCGACAUGAUGAAGAGUGUAGACGGCGGCGCGCUGGUGAACUAUUCUGCUGUUUUCGAGGAAGCAACAGUUGUGAGAGUUUUUUGAUUCAAUACCAGGAAUUGGAACAAUAGCUAUCUGGAACUUCUGGAACUGAGAUCAGUCAGAAGCCUUCAAGCUCAAACAUUAAAUGCCUUUUCCGGAUAAAUCCAGAUAGGGGGACCAAAGUGGAGAAGCAACAAUCUAAAAAACAGCAGUCCAUAAAUCCUACGGUUCUUUCUUUGAUUACAAACAUUGCAGACUUUGAAUGGCGAGAGUAGACAUCUCACAUGCCAGCUUCUUUCUGUUUCAUACAUUUCCAUUUAGUUUAUAGACUAUUCUGUAAUGUGUAAAGGGUUCAUUCUGCUUGUAUUUUGUGGCUGACUGUUAUCUUGAGUGAGUUGCAGCGUUUUAACCACACGUUUUAAAUUGUGUACAUUUCAAAGUACAGGGUUAAAAAAAAGCUCACAGUAAAGACCAGAAGUUUUAACCAGUGGGGAGAACCAGUUUCAUAAAAAAAAAAAAUGUGUGUGUGUAUAUAUAUAAAAUGCUGCUAAACGAUGCUUUGUUAAAUGUUGAUCACAGGAUGUAUUUGCAGAUAACAAAUAAAACAAAAUUAAGAUUACUGGUGUUUUUUUUAUUAUUAAAGCAAAUCUUAGUUAUUUUUGCAGUUUAAACUGCUUAAAGUUGAACUUAAAGUUAAGUAAAUGAUCACAACUUUAUUUUAGGGGGAACUAUCCCUUUAGAUAUGUCUGUCACCUCUCUAGCUCAAGUUAAAUACUUUUUAUAUGGCUCAUCAGAAUUGCUGAUUAUGAUCUUUUAAACUUUUUUUUUUAUCAUUCUUUAAAUAAUUUUUCUGUGUUUGAAUAUUUUAACAAUGUAUGUUAACAUACAUUUUAACAAUGUAUGUUAAAAUGAAAAGAUUUCAUGGUUUUAUAAGGAUAUUUUUGUGUAGAAUAACAGUAAUAAACCGUAAUUAUAGGAAAAGAAAUUACCAUUUUUUUUACAGUGUUAUCUGUACUUAAAACUUUUUUUAAAGACAAUUUUCUGUGUUUUAGAGGUGUAUGACUGUAUUUUAACAAUUAAUUUAUGUUAAAAUUAAAAGAUUUCAUGGUUUUAUAAGGAUAUUUUUGUGUAGAAUAACAGUAAUAAACCGUAAUUAUC